rnacentral:rRNA from 1 species
GGCUAAACCGCGAUAGACCAAGAUACCUGGAAUGGUUUUUGAUCAAAAUCUAUAUGGCCUUUGGAUUGGACUGCGACCGAUCAGGCUGUUGGUGAGGUAAUGGCCCACCAAACCAGUAACCGGUACGGGCUCUGAGAGGAGGAGCCCGGAGAUGGGUACUGAGACAAGGACCCAGGCCCUAUGGGGCGCAGCAGGCGCGAAACCUCUGCAAUAGGCGAAAGCCUGACAGGGUUAUUCUGAGUGACUUUCGCUAAGAAAGUCUUUUGACAUCUCUAAAAAUGGUGUAGAAUAAGGGGUGGGCAAGUCUGGUGUCAGCCGCCGCGGUAAUACCAGCACCCCGAGUGGUCGGGACGAUUAUUGGGCCUAAAGCAUCCGUAGCCGGUUUUACAAGUCCUCCGUUAAAUCCAACUGCUUAACAGAUGGGCCGCGGAGGAUACUAUAAGACUAGGAGGCAGGAGAGGCAAGCGGUACUCAGUGGGUAGGGGUAAAAUCCGUUGAUCCAUUGAAGACCACCAGUGGCGAAGGCGGCUUGCCAGAAUGCGCUCGACGGUGAGGGAUGAAAGCUGGGGGAGCAAACCGGAUUAGAUACCCGGGUAGUCCCAGCUGUAAACGAUGCAGACUCGGUGAUGGACUAGCUUAAUGCUAGUCCAGUGCCGCAGGGAAGCCGUUAAGUCUGCCGCCUGGGUAGCACGGUCGCAAGACUGAAACUUAAAGGAAUUGGCGGGGGAGCAC